rnacentral:lncRNA from 1 species
UCGUCAUGACGCGACCACGUGUCGCGUCGUUGAGAAAAUGAUAGCAAGUGUACUAGGCGCGCGUGUAAACGGCGCUUUCGCAUCUUGGCAUCGAUCAGUUUACGCUUGAUCGCAUAAUGACACGGCUACGGUUUCCUGACACAACGAGUCUCGAUAGACAGGUCAACAUCGACAAGGUCGAUGCGGCGGAACGGCGCUGACAACUGUGGCAUUAAUGGGUGACGCGAGCGACCGGCACGAGUUGCGUGAAGUGGAGCGGCGGCCUGCUCGAGCGAAACUGUCGGACGUCAGUUUGUUAUCGGUCGGAACAACGAGGAUCGAUUGUUAUGAUGUUUAUGAUAACUCUUUCGAGAGUGUGUUAAACGCUAGAGUUUACUACAAGCGUAGCGUGGGCGUAUGGCGUCCAGAUUUGCAAUCUACAAUCGCCCCUUUCGACACGCCCGAUUACGGCGGCGACGCUGCGGCUGACCAGUGAUGGUCACUUUCACUUGGAGGGUUACUUAGAGAGAAGAUGGAAUCGCAAAUUGCCGCGAUAAGCGAAACAGCGUGAGACGCAUUAUGUAUUGUGGAUACGUCAGAGAUUUUUUCUUUAGGGCCAGAAGAUAAAUAGAAUGGCCACUUAAUUGGAAAAAGAUAAAAGGAUCAAUUAAAUGAAAGAAAACACACAAGAUGUGAUUGAUCUCUUAAAAGCCAAACUCCAUGAAAUAAAAAGUACGGAAAAUUGUUAAUACUCGUAUUAAUUAAAUACUCUAAUACUAAAAUUAGGAAACUUACAAAAAGUGGAGUUUUCAGUUUGGCGUUUUGAAGUUUCAUAUGUCGAUAUUAUUUUUUGCCUCUGCGGGAUUCUUUUUAAAUUUUUGUAGAGAAAAUUUAAUUAAGUUCUAUUCUCUAAUGUUUGCAGCAUUAAAUAUCUUGACAAUGAAGCUUUAAAUUAAAUUCCUCUGUACAAGUCUCAAACUCAAAGUCUGUAAACCUCAAAUUUUUACUUAAAAAGUAAAAUGUAUUUAGAAAUAGUUUACGCAUCUCGAGAAAAAUUAUUAUUGUUUCGUUACUUCGACAUCAAUUUUGUAAAAUUGAACUAGUUAAUUAGUUCGUUCAUUUCCCAUACGUCAAAGUUGUAGGCGGAGUAGCGUGCAGAAAUAGUUGCGCGUAUGACACGUAUUGAGUAAUACAGAAAUUGCAUACUUGUUACGUUUGCAGAUCGUGCAAUGUGUUAAACAUGUUUGAACUGUUAAAGAAGAACUUGGAAAUAGCGUCGCAGCGAGAUUAAUGAGAAUCCAUAAAAUGCAACGUCCGCAAAAUUUAUCACGUACUGAACAUUUGUGGCUGCGCCAAAUAUAUCUCGAUGAGUAAACGUAUCUAGGACGAUUUUAGAGCAUUUUCGCGCAACACGUGGAUUUGGCACGGCAUAUCGCGCGUAGCGCGGAGUAGCGCGCGUCGUUUACACUUUCAGUGGUGUUGAUUUGACACCGGUUUAAUGCCACUCAAAUUAUUGUUUUUGUCGUACAAAACGACAAAAUCAACAUAUAUAAAUAUAUAUAUAUGUACCAAAAUAAUGCGUUAGAAAUAAUCUGCUUCUCUAGAAAUCUCGGUUUGAAACAAUGCCAUUAGUAUAUUUGUAGUACCAUGCAGUACCAUAUAGGCACAAAUAUACUAAUCACACAAAAGAUCACUGAGCAAACGCCUGUUCUCCGCUUGUUCAACAAAUCGACCGCAGACGUGAAAAUAAACGUGAAAUAACGUUCGUAAUAGCGGACGGCCAGAUACCGCAAAUUGAGCGUUCAGUUUUACGUAACGAUCUGCUAUUCUACUUAGAAGACCCGCUAAAUUCCUUGACGAUGUCCGUAGAAGAUGGCCGCCUAGGACUCUAAUUCGAUUAGAAUAUCGUCGAGGGUGACAGAGCAAAUAGCUGAGGGAUCUUCACACCUUAACGUGUAAACGUUUUCAUAUCACAGGUUUUCUCGCGUGCGAGUCAAUUCCUGCGUCGUGUCCCCUUGUACUAUAUAUGCGAUAUCUCGUGUUGCUACGUGUUACCGGCAUAGGUGUGUGCGCGUACACGAAUACGAUCCGACGCGUUGUGUGUAUGUACAAAUCAGAUUUGAUCGCGCUCGACGAUAGUUUGGCAAACAUUCGCGCACUCACCGCCGACGCACGAACUUUUAUUACCUCCGAAGUGGACGCGGGCGCGGGAGCAUCGUACGAUAUUGAGAUUUUACCGUGACCCUCGCGCUAGAACCAUAUUUUUCUUGCAAAUCUCCCAUUGUCCGAUAUUGCGUUUAAUAAUUCCUGAAGUAAAUAGAAAUAAUCAAUGCUUUUCCUAUAGUUUAUAUGUUAUAUGAUAUAUAAAUAUCGAUAGAGUGAUUAUCGCUUCUUCAUCACUUUUUACUUUCCCGAAACAAUUGCGAUAUUCAAUGACAGCGACAGAUUUUUAUAAAAAUUUAAAAAAUUUAAAUUUAAUAGGUUUUUAUGAAAAAGAAAAAAUUAAAUUUAUGGAUUUUUAUAUAACUCGCCACAAAAAUCUGCAUAGCUCACAUAUAUUGAAUGUAUGUACCUAUAUAUAACGUUAGAUUUGUUUAAACAGGUAUAAAAGCAGGCAGAAUUGGAAUGAAUCCAGGAUAAUAAAAUUGUAAUUUCCUCCGACAGCACGUAGUAGCUGUUACUAUUAGUAUAAACUUAAGUGCUGAUAUCCUGUUAUGCAGAAAUGCAACAAUGUUUGUAUAUAUGCAUAAAAUGGAAACAACGCAUAUAUAUCGAUGAACCGCAGAAUACUUCUUCUCGUGUAAUGCAUAUAACUUACGUAAACUCGAGAUACACAACCUUGCAACAUGAUUGACCAAAUUUGCAACAACAUCACUUGGACUUACCUGUAACAGAAAAAGGAAUGAAAUUAUGGAUGAACUUAAGAUGGAGCGUCGAAAAUCAUUCCAAGUAGGUCAAUAGCCGUUUUACGUCACACGACACGUGCGUAAAAAUACGCAUCACAUUAAAGUAUACGAUGCAAAAUUAGAGCGAGUGCUAAGCUUUCCAUAAUACAUAAUCACAAAUUAUAAAUUAGUAAUUAUCUAUUU